rnacentral:rRNA from 1 species
GACGAACGCUGGCGGCGUGCUUAACACAUGCAAGUCGAACGGAAAGGCCCUGCUUGCAGGGUACUCGAGUGGCGAACGGGUGAGUAACACGUGGGUGUUCUGCCCUGCACUUCGGGAUAAGCUUGGGAAACUGGGUCUAAUACCGGAUAGGAACCAUCCUUAGUGUGGUGGUUGGAAAGUUUUUUCGGUGUAGGAUGAGCUCGCGGCCUAUCAGCUUGUUGGUGGGGUAAUGGCCUACCAAGGCGGCGACGGGUAGCCGGCCUGGGAGGGUGUACGGCCACAUUGGGACUGGGAUACGGCCCAGACUCCUACGGGAGGCAGCAGGGGGGAAUAUUGCACAAUGGGCGCAAGCCUGAUGCAGCGACGCCGCGUGGGGGAUGAAGGCCUUCGGGUUGGAAACUCCUUUCGCUAGGGACGAAGCUUUGUUGUGACGGUACCGAGAUAAGAAGCACCGGCUAACUACGU